UAGGGAUUGCCGCGGUAGCUUUUGGCGAGGCGUGCAUCGAGCCAAAACUUUUAGCAGAAAGCCCGACCCUGU
rnacentral:misc_RNA from 1 species